rnacentral:lncRNA from 1 species
UGAGGGGCGGGACGCGCGGCAGAGCCAAACCGCGGUGAGAGUGCGAAGAUGGCAGCUGCGGACGAGCCGAAGCCCAAGAAGCUCAAGGUGGAAGCGCCAGAAGCGCUGAGAUUAUCUGGGCCGGUGGGAUGGCUCAGCAGAUAAAGGCAUUUGCUGCCCAGUUGGAUGACCUGAGUUCAGUCAGACUCCAGGACCCACAUGGUGGACGGAGUGAACCUAUUCUUCUGUUGCUCUCUGGCCCCUCCCCACUAAAUAAAACAGAUACUGUCUCCUUAGAUUUUUCUUUUAAUAAAAGUAAGAGUUUGUAUAUG